CCUACGGGUGGCAGCAGUGAGGAAUAUUGGUCAAUGGACGAGAGUCUGAACCAGCCAAGUCGCGUGAAGGAUGACUGCCCUAUGGGUUGUACACUUCUUUUAUAAAGGAAUAAAACGAGGCACGUGUGCCUUUUUGCAUGUACUUUAUGAAUAAGGAUCGGCUAACUCAGUGCCAGCAGCCGCGGUAAUACGGAGGAUACGAGCGUUAUCCGGAUUUAUUGGGUUUAAAGGGAGCGUAGAUGGGUUGUUAAGUCAGUUGUGAAAUUUUGCGGCUCAACCGUAAAAUUGCAAGUGAUACUGGCAGUCUUGAGUACAGUUGAGGUAGGCGGAAUGCAUGGUGUAGCGGUGAAAUGCUUAGAUAUCACGAAGAACCCCGAUUGCGAAGGCAGCUUACUAAACUGUGACUGACAUUGAUGCUCGAAAGUGUGGGUAUCAAACAGGAUUAGAUACCCGGGUAGUC
rnacentral:rRNA from 1 species